rnacentral:rRNA from 1 species
GACGAACGCUGGCGGCGUGCUUAACACAUGCAAGUCGAACGGAAAGGCCCUGCUUUUGUGGGGUGCUCGAGUGGCGAACGGGUGAGUAACACGUGAGUAACCUGCCCUUGACUUUGGGAUAACUUCAGGAAACUGGGGCUAAUACCGGAUAGGAGCUCCUGCUGCAUGGUGGGGGUUGGAAAGUUUCGGCGGUUGGGGAUGGACUCGCGGCUUAUCAGCUUGUUGGUGGGGUAGUGGCUUACCAAGGCUUUGACGGGUAGCCGGCCUGAGAGGGUGACCGGCCACGUUGGGACUGAGAUACGGCCCAGACGCCUACGGGACGCAGGAGUGGGGAAUAUUGCACAAAGGGCGCAAGCCUGAUGCAGCAACGCCGCGUGCGAGAUGACGGCCUUCGGGUUGAAAACCGCUUUCGCCUGUGACGAAGCGUGAGUGACGGUAAUGGGUAAAGAAGCACCGGCUAACUACG